UUUGGAACUUGAUUUAUUAAU
rnacentral:piRNA from 1 species